rnacentral:rRNA from 1 species
GUGAACGCUGGCGGUAGGCCUCACACCUGCAAGUCGAACGGCAGCACAGUAAGAGCUUGCUCUUACGGGUGGCGAGUGGCGGACGGGUGAGGAAUACAUCGGAAUCUACUUUUUCGUGGGGGAUAACGUAGGGAAACUUACGCUAAUACCGCAUACGACCUACGGGUGUAAGCCGGUGAUCUUCGGACCUUGUGCGAUUGAAUGAGCCGAUGUCGGAUUAGCUAGUUGGCGGGGUAAAGGCCCACCAAGGCGACGAUCCGUAGCUGGACUGAGAGGAUGAUCAGCCACACUGGAACUGAGACACGGUCCAGACUCUUACGGGAGGCAGCAGUGGGGAAUAUUGGACAAUGGGCGCAAGCCUGAUCCAGCCAUACCGCGUGGGUGAAGAAGGCCUUCGGGUUGUAAAGCCCUUUUGUUGGGAAAGAAAAGCAGCAGGUUAAUACCCCGCUGUUCUGACGGUACCCAAAGAAUAAGCACCGGCUAACUUCGUG